CCGAAAAAUUCAGCUGGUUUAAGCAAUUAAAACCGGUCAACUCAAAGGAGCAGUUCAUCUUCUAAAAUCCAUCUCCUUUAAUCAGAUCGGAGAAAGGGUUUCUGAGUCUUAACAAAUCCCGGCCAAAUUGAAGCAUCAGAAUCAAAAAUGGGAGAGAUGAUGUACAAGCUCUUCGCUUCAGCAUCGUUACUAACCCUAGGAUUGUAUCAUCUCAUCUGCACUUUCUUCCAUCUCCUCAAAUCUCCUCAAUCCUACGCCGCGAAGCCCUUCUACCCUUUCCCUCGUCUCUCCUCCGUCACCGGAAACAACCACCGUCUCCAGAAUCUACCAUUGUUCAUCCUCAUACUCUCCCUUUUCGUAGCGUUCCUUCACGAAACCCUAAUUUCGUUCUACUCCGAUCCUCUCGUCAAAGGAAGCACCCCAGUUCAUCGAUUCUCGUCUCUUAACUCCGCCGCCGUGUUCUUCCUCUUCCUCAUCAUCGCCGUUUACUAUCUCCUCUCCGAUUCAACCUCUUUAACCCCUCUCCCUUCCGAUCUCCUCUUCGCGCUCGCUUCCGUAGGUUUCUUCCUUCACUACUCCGCCGCAUCUUCAUCUGCUUCGAUCCAAACAUCGGAUCUUGAAGCUCACUGUGACUCACUCUCAGCUCGUAUCUCCGCCUUGUGCUCUCUCCUCUGCUUGCUUCUCGCUUGCCGUUCAAGACUCUUCAUCGCUGACGCUGCCCUCGCUGCUGCAAUCUGUCUCCAAGGUCUAUGGCAGCUUCAGACUGGACUCUCUCUCCAUGUUGAUGGGUUUAUCCCUGAGGGGUGUCACCGUCUUCUUGAUGUUCAAAGCGGUGUUGAAGGAUCGACUCAGUGUGAUGUUCAGGACUCUAAGCUAAGGGCUGUAUCUGUUUUGGAUCUUAUGUUCACUGUACACGUUGUGCUGGUGGUUAUCCUUAUCUUUGUUACUUACACGAUGGUGGUGAUGGCUGCUGGAGUUAGAAGAACUGGUUCUUAUGAAGCUUUGCCCACUAAUUCUACUGAUACUAAUCACAUUCAGAUGAAGUCUUUGACUGGCACUCAGGCUUGAAACCUUAUCAAUCCUCUUGCUUUGCCUGUUUUUUUUUCAAACUCAGCCUGUCGUCCUGUGGUGAAAGAAGAAGAUGAUACUCAUAGAUUUGCACUGUGUGACAACAACAUGAGCAUUAUAGCUUGGCAAUCCCGUGUCAAAGGAGAGGAACCAAAGAUUUUGAUUGCAGUUUAAUAUGUUAGAACUUGGAAUAGACACUUUGGUACCCUUACAAGUCUAGAAUAAGAGCAGAAAAGGCCAACAGGAGGUAUGAUUUCAGUUGCCUGGGUAGAUGGUUAUCCAUUGUUAACUCAACUAAACAUACAGAACAGUGGGAAGGGGAAUGGGUGAAAGUGAAACCUUAGUGGUUAAGUUAUUGCGAAAAGAGAUAAAAGGAUGAAACAAUCAAAUGAGAGCUUGAAACGCCCCAGAAAAAGUAGCUUAUGGUGGUGGGAAUAUUUUUAUGUUUAUUUUUUCACGCUUUAUUGCUGAAAGGUACAACACUUGUAUCUAAUCUUUAAUAUAAUGUUUCCCUAAGUCACGUAA